UACAGAGGUCUCAAGCGUUGUUCGGAUUCAUUGGGCGUAAAGGUGUGUAGGUGGCGCGCUAAGUCGGGUGUGAAAUUUCGGAGCUUAACUCCGAAACUGCAUUCGAUACUGGCGUGCUUGAGGACUGGAGAGGAGACUGGAAUUCAUGGUGUAGCAGUGAAAUGCGUAGAGAUCAUGAGGAAAACCAGUGGCGAAGGCGGGUCUCUGGACAGUUCCUGAUACUGAGACACGAAGGCC
rnacentral:rRNA from 1 species